rnacentral:rRNA from 1 species
CGUGAAAUUGUUGAAAGGGAAGCGUUUAUGACCAGACUUGGGCUUGGUUAAUCAUCUGGGGUUCUCCCCAGUGCACUUUUCCAGUCCAGGCCAGCAUCAGUUUUCCCCGGGGGAUAAAGGCGGCGGGAAUGUGGCUCUCUUCGGGGAGUGUUAUAGCCCGUCGUGUAAUACCCUGGGGGGGACUGAGGUUCGCGCAUCUGCAAGGAUGCUGGCGUAAUGGUCAUCAACGACCCGUCUUGAAACACGG